rnacentral:snRNA from 2 species
GUCCCUUUCGGAACCUCUAAUAAAAUUAGAACGUUACAAAGAAGAUUAGCAUAGCUCCUGUGCAAGAAUGACAUGCAUAAAUUGAGAAAUUGUCCAAAUUUUU